CUACUGUUGCUUCGGCGGAGAUUGCCCCGGGCGCCUCGUNUGCCCCGGAUCAGGCGCCCGCCUAGGAAACUUAAUUCUUGUUUUAUUUUGGAAUCUUCUGAGUAGUUUUUACAAAUAAAUAAAAACUUUCAACAACGGAUCUCUUGGUUCUGGCAUCGAUGAAGAACGCAGCGAAAUGCGAUAAGUAAUGUGAAUUGCAGAAUUCAGUGAAUCAUCGAAUCUUUGAACGCACAUUGCGCCCGCCAGUAUUCUGGCGGGCAUGCCUGUCUGAGCGUCAUUUCAACCCUCAUGCCCCUAGGGCGUGGUGUUGGGGAUCGGCCAAAGCCCGCGAGGGACGGCCGGCCCCUAAAUCUAGUGGCGGACCCGUCGUGGCCUCCUCUGCGAAGUAGUGAUAUUCCGCAUCGGAGAGCGACGAGCCCCUGCCGUUAAACCCCCAACUUUCCAAGGUUGACCUCAGAUCAGGUAGGAAUACCCGCUGAACUUAAGCAUAUCAAUAAGCGGAGGAA
rnacentral:rRNA from 1 species